AUGAAAAGGAGAUGGACCUCACAACAUCUUUAUUUAUCUCAAUGUAUCAAAUUAAACAGGAGAGGGAUUGUGUUUGAUUGUGGUGGACCAAAACCCAGACUACUGACCAAUACGCGUUUUGAAUCGGGCUUCGAAGGAUCAGAUUCAAAGUGAUGGAGUGGAGAAGGGAAGGAGGCAGAUCUCUGUGGGUUGGAAGACUUUGUGAGUUGUGAAAGAUUUUUGCCAGAGGACAGCCAAGUGGAUGGCAUCUGUGGUCAGCAAGGCAUUGCCUUUAUUUCCUUGGAUCAAAGUUAGCCAGGACUUGGUCUGUUUAAAGUAGGCUUUCUAAAACUCUAACUUGGCAGCUUUUAACUUGGAAUAAUAAAAAUACAUCUGAUUUGUAAUGCACCUUUCAUACAAAAAUGCAGCUUUGUUGCCAUGUUCCCAGUGAGCAGACAUUUCUGAACCACAGUUUUUGUUAUGUGUACCCUUGUGGGUCACAUGUAAUUUUGAAUAGCUAAAGACAAGAUGGAACUUAAAAAUAUACGAACGGCUUCCUGCCGACUGAAGAAUUCAGGUCAGCUGCUUACAUGGGAUGUGAUUUUAUUCUAGUCUUGUAUUUAAAUGUCCCAUCACAUUCAAUCAGAACAGUGUUAAAUGCUUUGCAUGAUUCAUGGUUCAAAAUGAUCCUUAUUUUUCAGUCCUUCAGUUCAUUCUGUCUGAAAUAAGCUGUUUUAGCUCCUAUCCUUUACGACCCCUCUCCCUUUAAUCCAGCUUUGUGCUGAUUAAUUGCAAGAGGCAACCAAGGUGGGGAGUCGGGGGCAAUUUAGACUCUCUAAUUAACUUAACAAGCAAAGAGAAGAAGCCAAAGUGCCUGGAAAGAGCUCCCCCAUGCACUGGGAGAACAUUGAAACUCCAUAAAGAAGGCCUCCUCAACUAAAAACGGUCUUGUUAUGAGGGAACAGCACCAACUACCACUGCUACAUUAUUAAAACUUUGCCCAGGGUUCAUGUUAGCACCCUCAAAAGGAAAAGCACAACAUGUAAGAUUUUACAUUGAAAACAAACAGCAGUGAAUCACAUUAAAGCUCUUGUGUGGUUGAAUUCUUCUUUGAAUCUGUUUUUGAAAACAUUUACUCCAUUGCAUUGAAAUUCCAGCUGUUUAUUCAGAUUUAGGUGUUUGUAUGGAGCAUUUUUUUAAUCUUGUGUUUGGUUUUUAAAGUGAUUAGAAUCGUUAUACCACGCACCAUGUAAAUGUAGCUAUUCUUCUACCAGCCGCAGGCCUUUUAUUU
rnacentral:lncRNA from 1 species